UAUUCCAAACUGACUUGAGUAUUUUAUUGGGAUUGAAUUUUUAUCUCUGGUGACCACUAGUAUAAUAUAUUCAGUCAACAACCCUAAGUUUACCCUUAACAAUUUCAUCUAUUAAAAGAAAGCUUCCUCAAUUCUAGGGUGAGCAGUUCUCUAUUCUAGCAUUUUGCCACUUUGUCAUUCAGUCCUAUAUUAGAAAGAGAUAUCAAUUUGGAAUCAGUGGACCUGGAUUUAAUAAAUUGACUGAUUCCUUGAAUGUCACAAAGAUAUGGCCUUGGCCAAAGCAUUUAAACCCUCUAGAACUCAAUUUUUCUCAUCCACAAAAUGGAUGGGUUUGUGAAGAUUAAAUUUAACUCUUCCCUGAUUGUGAAAAUGAAAAUAAUUAACUCUCCCCUGAUUGUGAAGAUUAAAUUGUAACCCCUGCCUGUUUUUAGAUCUAAUCACCAAAAAUGUAAACAUUCCACUUAAUCAUUAAGUGGGAGUUCUGUGACCCACAUGUGUAAUAAUGGGUGAUGAAUUAGAAUUAAACUAACCACUGGGCAGUCUUAAAGCAAAGCUUCAGCUGUGCUUGGUAGAAGUAAAAUUAGGGGAAGAUGCAAGAAGUGGUGCAAAAGAAGCAUCUUUAAAAGUAGCUGUCACUUCCUGUGAGAGAGAGUUCUUCAUUCUUUGGAAGUGGAGACUGGAAACAAUUCUUCAUUCUUUGGAGUGGAGGCUGGACCCAAGACCCUGUUCCUGUUGAGGUUGUUCUAAAAUCGCUUCCUUUGAACUGACACAUGGUCUGGCAUAUUGGAAAGACCAUUGUCUUUGGAUCCCAUUGCUGCUUAUUAGCUGUGUGACAAUAGACAAGUCAUUUCUCUUCCUGAGGCUUUGGUUUCUUCACUUUAAGAUGAAGAGUCUUGACCUAGAUUACAUCAUAAAGAAGCUUUUGAACCUAAGAACCCAGGAGAUACUAGGAAUUCAUCUAUAGUUUUUGAGAUGACCUCCAUAGAGGGGGUUAAAUGAAUUCAUGUAGACUAAUGAAAUCAUGAAAAG
rnacentral:lncRNA from 1 species